CAGUGAUGUAAGGGCUCUCAGCUCCUGCUCCAGCACUGUUUGCCUGCACGCAGCCAUGUCACACUCCGAUGAUAAUGGGCUGAACCUCUGAAAAUUAGUUCCACUCCCUGAUGGCUAAGCAGUCAAAUAUAUGAGCCUACGAAGACACCCCACCCCCACAGGCAGGGUCUCUCUGUGUAGUCCUGGCUAUCUUGGGAACUUGCUCUGCAAAUCAGCCUGGCCUUGAACUCACAGAGAUCUGCCUGCCUCUGCCUGCUGGGAUUAAAGGGUGGAAACCCAGGGCCUCAGCCAUGACAGGGCUUCUUUGUGUAGCAGACCUGGCUGUCCUGGAACUAGCUCUGUGGACCAGGCUAACCUCGAACUCACAGAGAUCUGCCUCCAGAGUGCUGGAACUAACG
rnacentral:lncRNA from 1 species